rnacentral:rRNA from 1 species
AGCUGAUCAUUGGGUGUAAAGCGUGCGCAGGCGGUUUUGUAAGACAGAGGUGAAAUCCCCGGGCUCAACCUGGGAACUGCCUUUGUGACUGCAAGGCUGGAGUGCGGCAGAGGGGGAUGGAAUUCCGCGUGUAGCAGUGAAAUGCGUAGAUAUGCGGAGGAACACCGAUGGCGAAGACAAUCCCCUGGGCCUGCACUGACGCUCAUGCACGAAAGCGUGGGGAGCAAACA